rnacentral:rRNA from 1 species
ACUCAAAGGAAUUGACGGGGGCCCGCACAAGCAGCGGAGCGUGUGGUUUAAUUCGAGGCUACACGAAGAACCUUACCUAGGUUGGACAUUCAAGUGGUAGGGAGCCGAAAGGUAACCGACCUUCGGGAGCUUGGACAGGUGCUGCAUGGCUGUCGUCAGCUCGUGUCGUGAGAUGUUCGGUUAAGUCCGAAAACGAGCGCAACCCCUAUUGUGCGUUACAGGUGUCGCACGAGACUGCCCGUGACAAACGGGAGGAAGGUGGGGAUGACGUCAAGUCAGCAUGGCCUUUAUAUCUAGGGCUACACACACGCUACAAUGGUCGGUACAACGGGACGCGAAACCGCGAGGGGGAGCCAAUCCCACAAAGCCGAUCGUAGUUCGGAUUGCAGGCUGCAACUCGCCUGCAUGAAGCUGGAGUUGCUAGUAACCGCGCGUCAGCCAUAGUGCGGUGAAUACGUUCCCGGGCCUUGUACACACCGCCCGU